rnacentral:rRNA from 1 species
CCUACGGGAGGCAGCAGUGAGGAAUAUUUGUCAAUGGGCGCGAGCCUGAACCAGCCAAGUAGCGUGAAGGAUGACUGCCCUACGGGUUGUAAACUUCUUUUAUAAAGGAAUAAAGUGAGGCACGUGUGCCUUUUUGUAUGUACUUUAUGAAUAAGGAUCGGCUAACUCCGUGCCAGCAGCCGCGGUAAUACGGAGGAUCCGAGCGUUAUCCGGAUUUAUUGGGUUUAAAGUGAGCGUAGAUGGGUUGUUAAGUCAGUUGUGAAAGUUUGCGGCUCAACCGUAAGAUUGCAAUUGAUACUGGCAGUCUUGAGUACAGUUGAGGUAGGCGGAAUUCGUGGUGUAGCAGUGAAAUGCUUAGAUAUCGCGAAGAACACCGAUGGCGAAGGCAGCUUACUAAACUGCCACUGACAUUGAUGCUCGAAAGUGUGGGUAUCAAACGGGAUUAGAUACCCUAGUAGUC